rnacentral:rRNA from 1 species
CACGUAGGGCGCAAGCGUUGUCCGGAAUCAUUGGGCGUAAAGAGCUCGUAGGCGGCCUGUCGCGUCUGCUGUGAAAUCCCGGGGCUCAACCCCGGGCGUGCAGUGGAUACGGGCUGGCUAGAGGCAGGCAGGGGAGAACGGAAUUCCCGGUGUAGCGGUGAAAUGCGCAGAUAUCGGGAGGAACACCGGUGGCGAAGGCGGUUCUCUGGGCCUGUACUGACGCUGAGGAGCGAAAGCGUGGGGAGCGAACAGG